rnacentral:rRNA from 1 species
UACGUAGGCAGCAAGCGUUGUUCGGAGUUACUGGGCGUAAAGGGUGUGUAGGCGGUUGCUUAAGUUUGGUGUGAAAUCUCCCGGCUCAACUGGGAGGGUGCGCCGAAUACUGAGUGACUAGAGUGCGGGAGAGGAAAGUGGAAUUCCUGGUGUAGCAGUGAAAUGCGUAGAUAUCAGGAGGAACACCGGUGGUGUAGACGGCUUUCUGGACCGUAACUGACGCUGAGACACGAAAGCGUGGGUAGCAAACAGG